rnacentral:rRNA from 1 species
UACGGAGGGUGCGAGCGUUAAUCGGAAUUACUGGGCGUAAAGGGCACGCAGGCGGGCUUUUAAGUCAGGUGUGAAAUCCCCGGGCUUAACCUGGGAAUAGCAUUUCAGACUGGGAGACUAGAGUACUGUAGGGGGGGGUGGAAUUCCACGUGUAGCGGUGAAAUGCGUAGAGAUGUGGAGGAAUACCGAUGGCGAAGGCAGCCCCUUGGGAAUGUACUGACGCUCAUGUGCGAAAGCGUGGGGAGCAAACAGG